rnacentral:rRNA from 1 species
AGAGUUUGAUCCUGGCUCAGAACGUACGCUGGCGGCACGCUUAACACAUGCAAGUCGAACGAAGUAGCAAUACUUAGUGGCAGACGGGUGAGUAACAUGUGGGUAUCUGCCCUUUGGCCUGGAAUAACACGAGGAAACUUGUGCUAAUACCGGAUAAGUCUUUACGGAGAAAGCUUUAUGCACCAUUGGAUGAGCCCGCACUUGAUUAGUUUGUUGGUGGGGUAAUGGCCUACCAAGACUGUGAUCAAUAGCUGAUUUGAGAGGAUGAUCAGCCACAUUGGGACUGAGACACGGCCCAAACUCCUACGGGAGGCAGCAGUGGGGAAUCUUGCACAAUGGAGGAAACUCUGAUGCAGCGAUGCCGCGUGAGUGAAGAAGGCCCUUGGGUUGUAAAGCUCUUUCGUCGGGGAAGAAAAUGACUGUACCCGAAUAAGAAGGUCCGGCUAACUUCGUGCCAGCAGCCGCGGUAAU